CACGCCGUAAACGAUGAGUGCUAGGUGUUGGGGGGUUCCACCCUCAGUGCCGAAGCUAACGCAUUAAGCACACCGCCUGGGGAGUACGGUCGCAAGACUGAAACUCAAAGGAAUUGACGGGGGCCCGCACAAGCAGUGGAGCAUGUGGUUUAAUUCGAAGCAACGCGAAGAACCUUACCAAGACUUGACAUCCCGCUGACCUCUCUAGAGAUAGAGAUUCCCUUCGGGGCAGCGGUGACAGGUGGUGCAUC
rnacentral:rRNA from 1 species